UNUGACUUGAGUGCAGAAGGGGAGAGUGGAAUUCCAUGUGUAGCGGUGAAAUGCGUAGAUAUAUGGAGGAACACCAGUGGCGAAAGCGGCUCUCUGGUCUGUCACUGACGCUGAGGCUCGAAAGCGUGGGUAGCGAACAGGAUUAGAUACCCUGGUAGUCCACGCCGUAAACGAUGAGUGCUAGGUGUUAGGCCCUUUCCGGGGCUUAGUGCCGGAGCUAACGCAAUAAGCACUCCGCCUGGGGAGUACGACCGCAAGGUUGAAACUCAAAGGAAUUGACGGGGGCCCGCACAAGCGGUGGAGCAUGUGGUUUAAUUCGAAGCAACGCGAAGAACCUUACCAGGUCUUGACAUCCCGAUGCUAUUCUUAGAGAUAGGAAGUUACUUCGGUACAUCGGAGACAGGUGGCGCAUGGUUGUCGUCAGCUCGUGUCGUGAGAUGUUGGGUUAAGUCCCGCAACGAGCGCAACCCUUAUUGUUAGUUGCCAUCAUUAAGUUGGGCACUCUAGCGAGACUGCCGGUAAUAAACCGGAGGAAGGUGGGGAUGACGUCAAAUCAUCAUGCCCCUUAUGACCUGGGCUACACACGUGCUACAAUGGUCGGUACAACGAGUUGCGAGCCGGUGACGGCAAGCUAAUCUCUGAAAGCCGAUCUCAGUUCGGAUUGGAGGCUGCAACUCGCCUCCAUGAAGUCGGAAUCGCUAGUAAUCGCGGAUCAGCACGCCGCGGUGAAUACGUUCCCGGGCCUUGUACACACCGCCCGUCACACCACGAGAGUUUGUAACACCCGAAGUNGG
rnacentral:rRNA from 1 species